rnacentral:rRNA from 1 species
UACGUAGGGGCGAGCGUUGUCCGGAAUUACUGGGCGUAAAGAGCACGUAGGCGGGAACUUAAGUCAGGUGUGAAAGACCGUGGCUCAACCACGGGGUUGCAUUUGAAACUGAGUUUCUUGAGGGCAGGAGAGGAAAGCAGAAUUCCUGGUGUAGCGGUGAAAUGCGUAGAAAUCAGGAGGAAUACCAGUGGCGAAGGCGGCUUUCUGGACUGACUCUGACGCUGAGGUGCGAAAGCGUGGGUAGCAAACAGGAUUAGAUACCCGUGUAGUCCCU